CUCUCCCACAAUUUUCUCUACCAAAAAUUUCAAAAAUGGAACAGUUGCAGGCAAGCUCUGCUUUCGUGGUAAGAGAGAAUAAUCAAUUCUUCUGGGUUCUGAAACUUUUAUCUGUCAGGGAUCCAUGGUUUGAAGUACAAACGAGACGAGGCAGUUCGAGGAUGACGAUUCGCAAUAUCCUCAGAGGCAUUAAUAAUUUAUUCAUCGGUCUUUGCUGAUCAAUUAUUGUUAAUUCAUACGAUGCUCCGUUUUCUUGUUAUCAUGUCGAAUGGCUUUUGAAUGCAGGGCACGCUGUAUGGUAAGCAAUGAGCUGUGUUUCUCUUUUGGCCCCGAGGAUCAGAAUUAAGGAGUUCCGAUGAUCAUUAAGAAUUAAAAUUGACUCCAGAAGAUGUGAUUGAAAUCUAAGUAUCACGGCGGCCCCAUUUUCGACGUAUGCGGUCAUGUUCAUGGGCUCGAAGGGUUCUGGUUGGAAACAUACACAAAACUAAUCAAAGUCAGAAAGAAAAAAAGUGGAAGAGGGAUAUAUAUACCACAUACGAUGCCCUAGAAGAUGAUAUAUAUAUAUAUAUAUAUAUAUAUACGAUGAUGAUGAUGAUGAUGAUGGUCGGUGAGCAAAAAGGGCACUGGGGUACAGAAUGCAUGGUGGCGGGCAAAAGCUGGUGCGUGUCGGCUUGCAAUGGGUGGUUCCCCUUUGCGAGUCGGCGGGAUAUAUAUCGUCAUAUACAUAUGGACUUUGUCAAAAUUCAUUUUAUUUUUUUGGGGAAGAAAACUAUGUAUCAAUUCCGAUUGAUCCAUGACUUUGUUCAUUGGAAUCGUAGCUAGUCUCGAUCGAUGCAGCAUAUAUCCAUCGAAUCUUAGGCCCUCUUCCACACGGCACAUCUAUUGCGGAGUUUUUUGUUAUGUAUCCAAGUGGAAUAUCAUAGCUCCCAUAAAUAGAAUUCUUUUUUUUUUUCGGUAA